CCCGGAAACAAUAGAAAACUGUUUACGUAAUGUUAGCUAGCUAACUGUAGACUAACUUGCACGAAAUACAAUACGAGUAAAAUACCAAAAGAAGCCUUAGCCUCACGAGACUCCAAGAGUGGAACCAUGGAAGUGGUGCGGCUAUUUACAGACCUACUAGCAGUGCACAGACAGCAGCUACAAGCCCUGACUGUACAGGGAGAGAUCCAGACUCUAUGGUACAGUUACUGGAGAAGGAGGUGCUCAGGAGAAUGGAGCCCAAUGUGAAGCUGGAGGAAGUGGAGGAUCAAGCCUGAGCCCAGAACAGAACAGAGACUACAGCAGCAGGGCUUCAGCUCUAUAAGGUACGACCCAGAGAGACCGCCCAGGGAGCUGGGGAAAGGGCUGGAGAGUGCUGCCCAUUACUGGCUCCGAGGAGGACAGCUGUGGAUGUGGUGAGGUGUGUGGCCCUGCAGAGUUCUGUAUCCCUUCUCCCCAAAGACGUUGGAGACUGAGUGCUGAAACAGUGCCCCCAGGAGAUGGAGGAAACUAUCUGCAUGGCUAAGGAGUACCUGAACAACACACCUGGGGAGUAGAGCAGAGAGAUGGAGAGGGGUACUCUGUAGACCAACAGAGAGAAGAAACAGCAGGACAUGCAGAACCUAAAGUUAACUGUGAGAAGAUUAAAGUCACAGGACUGUGCCCAGGGUUGUUUCUGAAGAGGAUAGAUGUGUCGAGUCUGCCUGUACUUUAGUUUCAAUAUAGAUGCCAGACAUCUGGAUGACAUUUACAGUGAGGAUAGGAGACUUCAUGGGGAAGAUGAUUUUGCUGAAUAUGAGGACUGGGUUAAGGAGGAGAUAAAAUACAAUAGCCAAUCUGAAGUAAAGGUUGAGAUCGGGUCAGCCUCUGAGAUGGGACAGUCUGUUGACAUGGCUAGAAAUACUGAGAAGGUUGAGAGGGGUCAGCUAAGAAACAUAGCAAAUCAGAUGCAUGUCUCUGGGAGGGCCAAGAGAUGUGUAUCUGCCCAUCAUCUCCUCGUCCAGCCCUACACCGCUGAGAGAGACCCUCUCCUACCUGAAACGUAAAAACAAAAGAUCCCUCCCAUCGACCAAGCCACUGCUGUCCUGACUGUGGUAAGAACUACAAACAGGCUGACUUUGUCAGUAAACACAGUUGCAGUGCCUUCCCUAAAUUCCACUGUCCUGACUGUGACCAAACCUUUACUUCUCAGACAUGCCUGACCCACCACCCCAGAAUCAAUAAUACAGUUGUGGGCUGCCCUGAGUGUGGAAAGCAGUUCAGGGACAAGUAUAAUCAGAAAUCUUACGAGGACCCACACAGGUGAGACCACUUAUACAGGUAUAGACUGCGGGGACGUCUGUUUUCAGCUGAAAGGGCUGCAGGAGAAACAGCAACAUCGACACAGAAAAAGGCCAUUCCGCUGCAGUGUGUGUGGGAGGGCUUCCAUCACAGCCACAACCUGACAAAACACAAGCUUCUUCACUCCCAGGCAAAGCCCUUCCUCUGUACCCGCUGUGGAAAGAGCUUUAACCUCAAUGACAAGAUGCUGAGGCAUCUGAGGACGGUGCACGAUGAAAGCAUGUUCCCUUGGAUGUGGUACAGCGGAAGGGCAUCUUUCCCUAACCCUGCCUUGUUAAUAAUGCUUACAUCUCAGAUCCUUUCAACUGCUUUAGUCCCAAACCAGCUAACUAAAUUACUCCAUAUGUUCAACAAACAUUUAACAUCAGCCUACUUUAGUGGACAUAAUUUAUUAUCCACAUUAAUCAAGCAACAUUUAAGUUACUACACCAGUUUCCCCAUGAUGCACAAAGACUAUUUUGGAUCUACAGACUGAGUCCCUGGCAAGUGUGACCAAUGAGUGCAGGUACUAUGAUUGUAACAGGCAGCAGGUAGCCUAGUGGUUAGAGCUUUGGGCCAGUCCCCCGCACCCCUCAGAUAUUAAACAGCAUGAUCAUUACACAGGUACCCCUUGUGCUGGGGACAAUAAAAGGCCACUCUAUAAUGUGCAGUUUUGUCCCACAACACAUUGCCACAUGUAGCCUGCAAUUGGCAUGUUGACUGUAGGAAUGUCCACCAGAGCUGUUGCCAAGAUAAUUUUGUUAAUUUCUCUACCAUAAGAGACUUAUUUAAAUGGACUUAAAUGGACUGUAACUCAGUAAAAUCUUUGAAAUUGUUGCAUUUGGCGUUAAUAUUUUUGUUCGGUAUAAUUAUGUAGCCUCGGCUCCCGGAUGCUGUAACUGUAUCGAAGCUGUACAUGGAAGCUUGGCUACAACUUUGAUACAGAAUCCAUACUGAUGAGUGUUCAGGGAAAAUAAACAGCAGACACUGCAUAUCCUCUUAAUACUCUAUACAUUUGACAGUUUUAUUACAAUAAUCAUGUAGACAUCAUGCUCCUGCUGACGAGCAAAUACAGAGGCAUCCUAGCCUGUCAAAUCACCAGUCAAUCCUUUUUCAAAAGAAUACAAAAAUAAGUCAAAAAUACAGAAAGCGAAUAUACACCAGAUUAAACCCUUGUUCUGGAGGGUCUCCGUGUCUGCUUUUUGUAGCUCCGUCUUUAAUUUGUGAACUAUACAUCAAAUGAACUGAAUGACAUCACUCCAGGGUAUUCCAGGGAUAGUCGUCAGGGUAUUCCAGGGAUAGUCGUCAGGGUAUUCCAGGGAUAGUCGUCAGGGUAUUCCAGGGAUAGUCGUCAGGGUAUUCCAGGGAUAGUCGUCAGGGUAUUCCAGGGAUAGUCGUCAGGGUAUUCCAGGGAUAGUCGUCAGGGUAUUCCAGGGAUAGUCGUCAGGGUAUUCCAGGGAUAGUCGUCAGGGUAUUCCAGGGAUAGUCGUCAGGGUAUUCCAGGGAUAGUCGUCAGGGUAUUCCAGGGAUAGUCGUCAGGCCCUGGUUAGAGCAAUCAUAGUCAGGGACUGAUUCAUUACUGAAAUUGUCACAUCACAUUACCCUCUACCCAUGUGAUAGGUCAAAAAAUCUCAACUCAUAUAGACUUGCAGAGGUUCCCAAAUGCCGUUAAACGAUCAUUUAUUUCAACUUGAGGCAAAGAUGAUUUAGCAAUGUGUUGAGUUUGCCCCUCUCUUUUCUCCUCCCAUCCCUUGUUAACUACUUCCCUUGGCAUGCAUAAACCUCUACCUUAUGUACAUUCACAUCUUCCCCUAAUCCUGCCUUGUUAAUAAUGGUAACAUCUCAGAUCCUUCUAACUACUUUAGUCACAAACCCACAUCUCUCAUCUAUAGCCUAAAAGAUAGAAUCCGCAGUAGGGGAAACUGCGCCACGGCUGUUUUUGUU